AACGAACGCUGGCGGCAGGCUUAACACAUGCAAGUCGAGCGCCCCGCAAGGGGAGCGGCAGACGGGUGAGUAACGCGUGGGAAUCUACCCAUCUCUACGGAAUAACUCAGGGAAACUUGUGCUAAUACCGUAUACGCCCUUCGGGGGAAAGAUUUAUCGGAGAUGGAUGAGCCCGCGUUGGAUUAGCUAGUUGGUGGGGUAAAGGCCUACCAAGGCGACGAUCCAUAGCUGGUCUGAGAGGAUGAUCAGCCACAUUGGGACUGAGACACGGCCCAAACUCCUACGGGAGGCAGCAGUGGGGAAUAUUGGACAAUGGGCGCAAGCCUGAUCCAGCCAUGCCGCGUGAGUGAUGAAGGCCCUAGGGUUGUAAAGCUCUUUCACCGGAGAAGAUAAUGACGGUAUCCGGAGAAGAAGCCCCGGCUAACUUCGUGCCAGCCGCCGCGGUAA
rnacentral:rRNA from 1 species